rnacentral:rRNA from 2 species
UCCUGGGGCUGAAGUAGGUCCCAAGGGUAUGGCUGUUCGCCAUUUAAAGUGGUACGCGAGCUGGGUUUAGAACGUCGUGAGACAGUUCGGUCCCUAUCUGCCGUGGGCGCUGGAGAACUGAGGGGGGCUGCUCCUAGUACGAGAGGACCGGAGUGGACGCAUCACUGGUGUUCGGGUUGUCAUGCCAAUGGCACUGCCCGGUAGCUAAAUGCGGAAGAGAUAAGUGCUGAAAGCAUCUAAGCACGAAACUUGCCCCGAGAUGAGUUCUCCCUGAGACUUUAGGUCUCCUGAAGGAACGUUGAAGACGACGACGUUGAUAGGCCGGGUGUGUAAGCGCAGCGAUGCGUUGAGCUAACCGGUACUAAUGAACCGUGAGGCUUAACCUUAC